UUUAUUCAACAUUUGUCUUAUGCUUAUACGUGGUAGAGAAUAUAAAAAAUAGUCCCUGGUUUUAAGGGAUGUAUUGUUUUCAGGAAGCGGCAACAGUGAACUAGAAGACAAUGUGAGAUACUUUUAGGUAUGACUAUCAUGUGAAGAUUUCUCUUAUGAAAGGAUACCAAAUGUUCAAUAUUAAACAAGAUGUAGAUGUCAGGAAGUAUUACUCUGAUGGAACUAGAGAAGGCUUCAGAUAUUAGAUGGGCAAUGAAUGAAAGACAGGAUAUUUUCAGAUACAAAGGGAAGAGAAGAUAUUUCAAGCAAAGGCAAAGGCAUGAGUCAGGAUAUAAAAAGUACUUGGUAUGUUAGAAUCAUAAUUGAAUCAAUUGAAGUAUUUGGUAUCACAAAGGGAAAAGGGAGGAAAUCAGGUAUUGAAAAGUGGUUAAAUACACAUUAGACAAGAUCCUGAGUGCUGCAGAGAGAAACAUAGAAUGAGGAAGUGAUAGAGAAGCUUAUAAUCGAGGGUUUUUUCUCUUCAGGAAGACUGCAUUUUACCAAGAAUGCAGAUAGAAUUACAGUCUGAAAGAUUGGGGAAGGAAAUGAUUGGGAGACUAUUUCAAUAGUCUGGUAGAGCAGUGGUAAGAAAAGUUUACCCAAGACACUGCUAUUACAAAGUGUGACUUAAGGAGAAGAAAGUGCCAGUUUUGCUGAUUUAUUCAGCACAUAUAUAAUUGCUCGCCCACUGCACAGAAAGCGCUCUAACAGGUACUGGAGACAGACAAACAAGAAAGGUGAAACUCAACCUCAUGAAACUCAUGAGCUAUCAGAGAAGAUGUAUCCUAAACAAAUAAGCAAAUGCACAGAUGAAACAAUUUCACGCAGUGCUUUUCUAAUGUAAUAAUUAAAGAAUGGAAGCAACGUGUUCUAUAUAAGUCAGCUACGAAGCACAAUAAUAAAGAGAACACUCCUGCAACGUCACAAAUCAAGAAACAGUGUUUGAAUACUGAGCUGCAAAUCAAGCAAUGUGAUAUUCAGACUGAUUAAUGACUUGGAGAUUUCAUCUAUUGCGUUUCCAUGUCCCUGAACUGAGGAAACCAAGGUGCUCAGCUGGAGAAGAACAUCAUUGAAUCUUUGAUCAGUCACCAGACUAAAAUUUUGAAAAUGCUCUGAACCUAUGAGAUUGGCUUCUGUAUCUGAAAUAAAUUGGAUUCUCUUC